rnacentral:tRNA from 1 species
GGAGUGGUCAUGCAUUCGGGCCGGAUCCGUCACCCUGCUAAGGUGGAGAACCCGUAAGGGUUCCGAGGGUUCAAAUCCCUCCGUCUCCG